CAAGCCUUGAGAGUGCAUUGGAAGAGGACUGCCCUGUGACCCACAACCUCCCAGUGUGUCUGCCUACUGGAUACAGACAAGAGUUCAUUUUUGGAGUUGGUUUGGAUCUUGAGUUUCAGUCCACAGAACUUUUUUCCCCAUGCUGAGGUGCCAUGGACAUCUCCAGUUGCACACUUCACCACUUCUGCUCCUUUGGCACUCCAGUUUGCAGCACCACUUGGUGAACAGGAUCAGAGACCAUUUCAAUCACGUCUUAUUUCCCACCACCUUCCCUGAGCAGGCAAGGUUUGAGCAACACCCAGAGUUUGUAGCGUCCUGUGGGUGAAAAACAGACUCUCAAGGGAUGCGUCGUGUUGGAGCUACAAAGGAGCGCUUUCCACGUUGUCAAUCUGUGAGUGAGCUGCUCUGGUAUAAGGAGCUCAUCCAUCAGUUACAGCCUCCAUCUAAACUGGGGAUGUGUGGAUGUAGCUUAAGUGGAUCUUGGGAAGAGUACAGAAGUGGCAGUUCCGUUCAAUGAAGGACACUACACUGUUGAUGAAAUAUCAUUACUCCUUUACUCCUUCUCUUCGCAUCUUUCCAGUCAUUUUCAUCACGACUUUUGCUGAUUUUGUGCCUGGAUGGGAUUGAAAGUUGUAUUCCCUCUGCCACUGUGACCAAAACAUUUCUCCAUAAGCUGAUCAAGUUGAUAUGCUGGCAGGGGAAAAAAGGAAAAUAAUUACAUUGAUCUAGAAGCAAUGUUUGCCACUUGUCGAAUGGAAGUGAACUGGACCGGUGAAAGUGUGGUACAUGUGCAAGAGCGAGUUCCCAACAUCAUUAAAAAUGAAUGCAGCCCUUUACAUUUCUAAAUACCGGAGGAGCUCCCAUUAGCUCUCGCCCUCUCGUCAGUGUCUUUUCGGGAAUAUUGGAGCCACAGAUGUGGAGGAAAUGCGCCCAGCCGGUGGCUAUUAUAGGCAGAAGCUGUCGCCUGUAUAGAUACAGAUGUGCGCGAUGCAGGCGCCAAACGUGAGCAUUCAGGAUCCAGGCACUGACGCCAGUUGGGAGCAGGAGCUGCCAAAGCUUCAGAUUUGAGCAGCUGGAAGGAGCUGUCAAAAAGUCACUGCUGUCAACUACCCAUGGAAAAAUGCCCGCUCCCAUCAGAGCAUCCCCACCGCAGCUGGUCAGAGCCAGCUGACACCAAAGAUGUCGUCUUCAAAAAGGGUCUUCGGUGGCUGAUUUUGGAGAGUUGAAUUGUAACUUGUUUUCACAAGUUGCUUGAGCAAAGACAAGGAUGGAAUAAGCUUUAAGAUGGUUUGAGAAGGAAGCUGAGGAGCUCAGACGUCAAGAAAAGCCACCGUGGUGGGAAUUUAGGUAAGAAGGUUUGUAAUGAAAGGAAGAAUUUAAAGAUUCUGAUUCUUGAAGAAAAUGCAAUUCUCAUCAGAUCUGAAGCUAGCCUCGCUGCGAGUUGGUUGAGGCCAAAAAGUUUCACCUCAAGUCAUUACACCUGAAGGCAUCCUUGCUCAGCAAAUUACCUGAAAGCCUGCUCAAUUUUGAGAUGGUAAAUAUGUUGAAUUCAGCUAGAGGAAAACAAAAAAAAAUCACGGUGAAAAGGAGAAGUUCAAAUGAGGUGAAGCUGCAUUUACUAACGGAGCAUGGAUUGCUUGGCUGCUGAGUUCAGGGUCCAAGUUUACCCUGAUUAUCCUGGUUGUCUGAUUUUUCCAUAUCCGCAUCCAGCAAUUUUCCACUGGAUGGGAAGUGAAUGGAUAGCAUGGCCAGCACUUCAACUGGCUGCUAAUAUGAUGUGUACAGCUUUGGACAUUUAUGCAAGCACCCAGAAUAAGAGGAUGAAGUUGGCAGCAACAUGAGGUCAUUCUGCCCAUAAACCACCUAACCACUGCCCUCCAGGUUUGGCUCUUCGUGGGCUCUUCUCGUCAAGAUGAAGCGUGUAUACAGACAUUACUGAGAUCAGCUAUUGGUAAUUUAAGGAAAACAGUAAGCUUUGCUGUUGCAGAGAACCUAACUGCAAAAUCUUCCAUACUAGCAAAGCAGGAAGAAAACAGCAACAAGUUCAACAAUGCCAAGGGAAGAAAAAACCUGGUGUGGUGUCAGUGGUGCUUGAGCAGGCCACACAGAGCUGAACCUACACAGCUACGUUAGUGCUAUAUUGGAUCGGCUCUUCCCUUCCUGCUUGACCAGAUAUAGGGUGCAGUUAUUGCCUGACUUGGGAUAGGACUGAACUAUAGAAGAGCUGCUUCAAGAGGACAUGACCAGACUGAAAGACAGAGGCAAGAUUUUCCUUGACAUCUUCAUGCUGGUGAGCCUCAAGACUUUGUGUAAUGACUGGGGGAAAAAGAAAAAAAGAAAGGAAAAAAAGACAAGCAGGUGAAAUGUUUUAAAUGAAACCUAGAACUGUAAGGAAAUAUACUCUUAUGUAUCAUUUUCUGAUCACCAUAAUGUCAGCUGGGUGAAAGGCUUCAGAGUGGUUUACUUCUGAAGAAUCACUUGCCUGGAUUUCAGCAACUGCCUUUGGGAAGAGCCUGGAACAACACAUCUGCUGACACCCCUGUGUAAUCAAAGGGAGGCAUUUAUUCAAGAAGAGGUUGGUUUGGUGCAGUGCUUGGAACAAAACAAGAGCAAACAAAACCCGACAGCGCUGAAUGCUGCACCCUUGCUGCAUGGUGGAAGUAACUUGAGGAUUUUACUGAGAGUCUCAGCAUUCAGCCUUGCAAUACAUCUUCUCUAAUAUGAGGACUGAUCAGCUUGCUUUCAUAGCCACGUAGGGGAAACGAAGGUAGAAGUUGCUUGAAUCCCGUUAGCUCUUCUGGCAAGAAGCAGGCUUAUUUACUUCUCAUAUUUGAUUCGAUUCCCCUUGCUGGCGUCAUGCUGCUGUAGUAGCAGAUCAGGCACAAAUAAGUGCUUACGCUGAAAAUUAAGUUUCUAUGAGGAAACUGAGACACUGUGAAAUUAAAAGCUUGGGGAAAUUAGUACACAGUAAAUUACGGUGUGAAUUUACUGUGUACGAACCACCCUGCACGAACUCAUCAGGCGGACUGGCAAAGAAAAAGGAUUAAAGUCCUUUAAAUUAUCUCGCAUUUGCCAUGGACAGGCAGCUACCACGGAUCAGCCCCUUUGGAACCCGCAGCGAGCCGUCCGCAAGGCGAAUCCCUGGGAGGACAGGGGCAGAAUCCUGGGCUGUGUGCUGAGCUGCUCAUCCCCUGCAGCUUCGUGCUGGAGUUUAUGAGUUGCUAAUUUCCCCAGCUGGCCAAACCCUAAGGGGUUUACCUAAAAAAUCACAAAGGAAAUCUUAAAGGAAGACUCCCUUUGCAGCCUUGAAAUCAGAAGCUGUGAGUUGAGGCUUUGAAGGACAGAGGGACUGCAGGCUGCGUCCAGGGAGCACGUGGGUUAAAGCAGUGAGUUAGAAUGGUGAGGUGGGAAGGGGGUUCCAUCCGUCCUGGGAGCCCCACCAUACGCCUCCUCCAGCCCUUGGGCUGGCUCCAUGUGUGCUCAUCCAGGCUGUGUGGUGACCUCCUUGCCAAGUCCCCUUCACUCCCAGCAGUGCCAUUUCUGGUCGUGGCUCCAGCAGGGUCCUCUGGGCUCAGGAAUCUCUGGCAGCGGCCUCCUCAUCCCCCGGCACGCUGUAGGGCCAAUGUUGAAGCAUCUUUGGCAGGCGUGUUUCCCAUUGUUGCUGACCCCAGCUGGGCAGAGGAGCAUGGAGGGAGCUGGGGCGAGAGCUGGUGGGAAGACAAUUACUGACAAGUUCAUUCCACUAAUAAACAGAGACAUAAAUGACGACGCCGUAAAGAAGAAGCAGGAUUCUGUGGAGAAAGCCCUAGAGAGACCUAGUGAGGAGAGAGAUGUUUAGACGACAGUUUUACAUUACACCACUUUGUGAAAUAUGUGCUAUUUUAGCUCCGAGCUGGAGUCCAGUUAGAGCUGCAUCAGGACUUAGGAAGCGGAAUGUAUUUUAAUGCCCUGUGAGCAGGAAUAGCUGAUAACUAGUACAUUUAAAUGUGAAAAGCAGAACUUUUCUCUGGGGGAUGUAUUAUUUUUUUUCAUAUGAAUUUAGUCGUUGUAGUUUACAUUACAGCUCUAGCGCUCCACUGGCAGUCAUUUAUCUAAUGACUUACAUCUUUCAGGCUGCAGAAAAUGUAGGAUAAGAGAGGGAGAGAGAGAAAGGGGUGGCAGAGGGGAAGUUCUUUAUAAUUUGCAUUUCAGGGCUGUACCAAGGAUCAUAAAUAUACAGAAGUUGGAACCUUCCUAACAUCCCUCAGCUAUCUUUUUUUUUUUUUUUUCCAGAGCAUUACAAUAUGAAAACAAUGGGAUUAGGGCACUGUGUACUUCAAUCCCUCUCACUCCCGAUCCCUGAAAUAAGUGUAAAUAGAGCUGGAUUUGCUUCUGGUAUAGCUGAAGUUAAGACAAAGGGGUAUGUCUGAGAUGAUAUAUAUUUUUUUUGCCUGUAAAGCUUAAUCACAGAAAAUGCCUAUCUGUGCUGGGGAAAUGGAUUGCACGUAAUGUGAAAACCGUCUUUUAUAGAGGCAAACCAGACUCACUAGGAUCUAAUGUUGUAAAGGAAGAAGUUUCUCAGGACAUCAGUGACUUGCUAGCUGAGAUCGAGAAGCACUCUACAGUGUCCCAUAUGCCGUGACUCUGCUGGAUGAACAGUGUGGUCACAGCGACUUUUGGAGCGAUGGUCACCGCUGGAAGUAAAGGAAAUUUUGGUUCCCAAAACCAGAAGGAAGGAAGUAGAGGAAGGAGCAGCAUGAGAGCUACCACAAGAAUGUGAUAAGGAAGGGGAGAACUGCAAACGUGAGAGGUGCUGCCGAGAAGAAAGGUCUGAGUUCCUAUUGUGCUGGAACUGCUGCAUGAAAACAAAUUUGCCUGAGUGUUUCUACCAAACUCUGCAGGCUUGAGCACAGGCAAACAUGUUCAUCACAGUAUUGCCUUCCUGAGACCAGAAUGCCCAAUGAAGGACAGCUGAUCAGCUAGGAGUCCCAUCAGAUAUGUUACAGCUUGGGAUGACUUUGAGCUCAAUAACACCUACAGAACCUGUUGAGAUGUUCCCUAGAUCCUAGCCAGAUGUAUACCCUCCCAAAACAAGGGUAACAGAGCAGCCUGAUGUUUCCAGAGUGCGAUUUUGCCUUGAAGCCUAGGGAUGAGGAGGGACUCCUGGUGUGCAUCAAUCAGCCUUCAGUGAAGAGGGACCAAAAUAGCUGAUCCAUAACAUGCUAUCCUCAGAACGAAACCCAAACUUUUCAGGUAUCCCAGCAAAGAUCUUAAAGUAGCUCAUUUUCCCUCAUACAUCUGCAUAGCCAGCUAAAAUAUUCCAGGAAAUGUUCCUCAUUUCAACACUGGGUACGUCAGGUACAGGUAUCUUAAGCAGGAGGUAGUUUAAGCAGUGACGCAUAUUUCCAUGUUUUCCUAACCCCCACUUGAAAGCACAUCUGCCAGUAAGUGGUUUGUAACUUGACAGUCAGCCACGGCUAUUUUUUCAGUGCUGUAUAAUGUUCUCAUUCCCUGUUGCUGACCUUUUUUUUUUUCUUUCACUUUCUCUCUUUUUUUUUUUUCUUUUUGUGGUAACCCUUUUACCUUCUUUUCCCCUGCUCAGACCCAUUAGCAGGAUGUUGUGCAAUAUGGUGCUUGUCAUCUGUUUCAAAGACACAGUGAUGAGAUACAGGUAUGCCAGAUGGAUAAACCUAGUGUGACUAAUUAUUGUGUAUUUGCCUUUAAUUAUUAUCAUUUAUUACCAGAGAAAAGACAAUAGAGGUUCUCAGACUCGGAAGGGAAUGUCGGCAGAAGGGGAUUGUUUUCUUUUUUUAUUUAUUUUUUGCAAGAGAGUGGCACAUCAGCAAGAAAACUUUUCUUCCUGAGGAGAAAUGUUUGUAAACGUUGAGAUGAGAAGUCAACGUGACCCAUGCAGGGCUUUCCUUUCCCUGACAUACUUGAGAAUCGGAUAUCUCACAGGUAAUAGUUUAUCUGUGAUUACAGAUCAACUUUGCCUUUGCUUGAAUGUGUGUAAUGAGUAUGUGGGUAUCCUUCAGUCAUCUACGUGGGUAUUUUCCCUGAGAGAAAUGAAAUCUGUAAGUCCAUGAGUUGUAAUUUUUAAGUAAAUUAGGCUCGGGGUAGCAAAUAUCAUUGAAGGUUUCAGUGCCAUCAGGCUGAGCCUCGCAAUCUUUGAAUUGAAUUUGCCUCCAUAUUUGACCCUAACAUAUAGGAUCCCUCUGGUGCUUGGCAUUCGUGUAGACUUUUCUCUUCCAGGUAUUGUAACCUUAUUAUCACUAAGAAUCCUUCAAAAAUACAGAUGAAACAUUUAAAAUAAAGAGGACAUCUCUGAUGAAUCUCUGCUAGCCUAGGCCACUUUUCUGAGCUCAGGAUCUACAGCCAAGCAUGCUGGGCUACUUUGAGAAUCAUGGAAUGUCUUGGGCUGGAAGGAACCUUAAAGCUCACUCAGUUCCAACUCCUGCCAUGGGCUGGUUGUCCCCCACCAGCUCAGACUGCCCAGGGCCCCGUCCAACCUGGCCUUGAAUGCCUCCAGGGAUGGGGUAUCCACAGCUGCUCUGGGCAACCUGGACUAAAGGUUGAUAUCAUUAUAAAACUUUUGGAAAUGUUAAUAAUAUAGCUCCCAAAGCUGCUUUCAGGUUACAGCUGAAUCAUCUAUUAUUUACUAGCGCAGGCAGGAUUAUGAUGGCUCAUAAUUUUGAUCUUCUUGCUUAUGGGGCACAGCACUUUAAUUUGGGAGCAGCCAUACUGAUUUGGUAAAUAGAUUGAGGAAGAGCUUCAGACAUGGGCUUUAAAAUUCAUGAGGAUCUGAUUUAGUACAUCUUACACCAAUAUUUUUGCAUAUUGACUCUGUGGCUAAAUCACAUCAUAACCUAGAGGACCAGUGAUCACCAUGAUCUAUCAUAGAUAGCACAAGGCAUAAUCAAUGUUGCUAGUCUGCUAAAAUAUUUCUAUAUAUAGUAUGUGUCAGAAGAAUACAUGCAAAGCUACUACAAGAAACAAAGUCCGUACAUGGACCAUUUACAAACAGGAGAAAGGGCUAAAUUUGCCACUGUUUGCUCUGAAUAGCUUACCCAGAUUACAGACCAAUUUUGUUCUGGACAGAAAUAUUUUCCAUUGCAGAGUCUGCUAAAGUCAACUGAGUGCUAUUCCUUUGGCUGCAGGAUGGGCUGAAGGCUGGGUUGUAUUUUGGGAUUGGCAGCUCUGUCCGUCUCCCUUUAACCCAUUUGACCGCAGUUUGACUGGGACUUGACUGAGCACUUAAUUCUGUAAUUGCCUUGACUAUGGACUCCUACUCUUAAACCUAUUGCAAUGUUGUUAAUAUAUAGCAAUAAAAAGCUGCCCCGAUAACCAAAAAAUAUUGUGUUAAGUUGACAGACCGGGUAUUAAAAAUGCAGAACCAGCCUAAUGAAAUAACUUGCCUUUGGUUGCAAGAACCUUCAUCAUAAGAAGAUUUAAGGCUAAUCUGACUUGGAGCUGCUUCAUUCCAAUUAUUUUUCAGGAAUUUUGGGGGCUUUAUUUUUCUUUUCAACAUCAUUAUUCUGUCUUGACAGUUCUUAUUUUGUUAAUUUUUUUGCAUACUGAGUAAAUGAGAAAUCAGUUCACAACCAUUCUUAAGGAGAAAUGAAAUGCCCAGUAAUCCAAUUUUGAUCAAAAUGCAUCUUUGCUUUUCAGGGACCGACCAGCCUGUGCAGUUAUCUCCACAUGCACAGAGUUGAUAAUAAAGCAAAGUAAAGCUCGCAUUCUUUUCCCAGUGAGAGAAAAUCUCACGUGGUGGGAACGGGGCAUUGUUCAGCUGGAGAACAAUGUGCUGUUCCCCCAGCGUGUGGCAAAGCUGAGAAUGACAAGAUGAUUUCUCCCUGUGCUUCUACUUUUGUUUCUCAAAUGUUUACAGGCCCGGAGUAAGCCUUUUCUUCACCCUUGCUGGGUGGUUCGGUUCUCUUUCCUGGAAACCUUUCUUUCUCUCCUGAUGCCUUGUGUUUGCAGAAGAUAGCUCACUACUGCAGCACUUUUCCCAGAAGCAGCCUUGAGAAGAAGAGACAGACCCAGCUGUUUUCACAGACCUGUUUUAAAACUCCUCUGCCUUCUGUUUCAGCAUCCAUUGCCACUUGGUUUUACAAAAAAAAAAAAAAAACCCACAAAACAACGAACACGGAAGAAGCCAAAGCGCAUCACAAAAAUACAAUCCCUUUCCAAAGAGUGUCUGCACAAACAAGCUUUGUGCGUCUCACAUGGUGCAUAGAGGUAUUCCCCAUAGUCCAUUGGGUUUUCUCUGGGACUGUGCCGGCCUCAGUGAUUCCAGCUUAGUCCCUAACUGGUUUUUAUUCACCUUUGCCCUUUAGAACUUAUACCUAAAGGAGCCACUGCAUUCCUCUUGUGCAACAUCAGCAAAAUUGGUGGCUUUGAAAUGUUUGCUUGCAAUCAAGCAAAGCUGCUCCACUUCUGUGAAUGUCCUUCUUCCUUCUCACCAACUCCUCAUCAACUCCUCCUAUUGAACAGACUUUUUUCCUAUUCAUUUUUCUUUGCCAUCAGUUUACUUUUCCACAUUCUCAGAGUUCCUGAUCGUGUUUAUGCUUCUGCCGAUUUCAAUGGCUGUGUACUGAUGUUGCUUCAGAUGAAUAAGCAGUGGAGAGAUAAAAAUAAAUGGUUUGAGGACUCUACAUGAAGUACGUGAGUAGUUAUUGGAUGGAGGUGUUGGAUGGGUGUGGAUAAACAUGUAUAUGAACAAAGGUAAGGGAUAAUAGGUAUACGAAUGGAACCAGAUGCAUUGUAUCUGGGCAUUAUCUUCCAUUGGGGUCUCAAAGUGCUUUGAAACCCUCCUGAAUUGUUUUUAGAUUCCUCCACCUGAGCUAUGGUGCAACUACAUUUAUACUGCUUAAUGAGCUGAUUCCAGGGUUGAGAGUAGACUGUGGAUUUCCAAGCUUCCCAUUAAUUCCUCAGUAUUUUAUCUGUAUUUUAAAGGGCUCUAGCAGCUUAGAAAAAUAAUGACCGCUGUCCAUUAGUUCAAGAGAAGACAAUGCAAAGGGCAUUUUUCUAGGAUGAGUCAGAGUACUGAGUAGCAACAAGUUUUAUUAACUGACAGAGCUUAUUUCCCAGAUAUCUGUCAGUGUAUCAUCGCCCAUCUGUUUAAACCACUUGGGAUUCCGAGCCCACAGGAUUCUGGGAAGAAGGUUGUAACAGAGCAAUGCACUCCUGUGUGCUCCGAAAGAAAGUUGGCCACACACCUGAGUCCGGGUUGUCAGAUGAAGCAAGUAUUAGGUGCGAGAAUCUGUUGUUCAGUAAUCGUCUUGGCAUUGUAAGUAACAGCCAAUUGUUUCCUAAAGGGGGGAGAUGAGAAAGAUAACAAAUCACUAUGGGAUACUAUGAAAAAGAUCUCUUCCUAGACUGGCAGUAGAUGACUUCUUUUCCAUGGCAUUUGGAAACAGCCAUGCUUAUAACUAAAAAAUUCAAUCUUUUGAAACAUUCUGUUGCCUUUCCGAGUUACCUUUAUUUUCAUUUACAUGUCACUUGUUACUUUCUUGUUUGUAUCUAUUCUUUUCAAGACAACUUGUGGUUUCUUGACUCUUCACCCUUUCCGUUUUCCUCACCAUCUGACCUUAGAGCAUUCCUCUUUUUUUCUCUCUGAAAAUCUGCCUGCUGGUAUUUUUCCAUGAAUCCAUCUGCAUUGAAUUAUUUAUAGUUACAAUAAAGUCUGCUUUUGUCUAAUGUUUAUUUUCUUUAAUGACAAGAAACAUGGGGAAAAUGUUCCAAAGAACCGAAAAAGGACUUGACUUUUCCUGGACGCUAGGCAACGGUAGCCAAAAAGUACAAAACAAGCCAUAGGAUGUUCGUAAGAUGAUUUCUAAAAAUAAUAAUACUUAGUACUUUGGUAUCUGAUGUGCUUUUUUGCCUUCAUUAUAUUUCCCAGAUCUGGGCCUCGGUUAUAAUGUUGUCAUGUCACCCUGAAGGCUGCAGUAGACAAGGAACUACUGUAGAGGCAACCUGGAGCAAUAAGCAGGUGGAUACAGCUGAUGGAGGCCAGGCUUCUGCUACCUGUUUCUUGUCCUAGGUGUUUUAUACAGGUCACGGAACUCUCUUAUGCUGGUCGUUUCUGGACAGUGGGUUUAUCUUGUGUCUGGUAGAACUUAGAGCAAACGAUAUAUCUUACUUGAUGAGUCAUUGCUAGUUCUUUGUUACCUUUUACUGCUUGUUUGAAUUGAGUUUUCAUUAUGAUUUAAAGGCUUUUCCCAUCUUCUUUUCCAGUGGAGGGUUUAUGUUGCUCAUAUGCCUUGUUUUCUCUUCAAUUAUGUGAGUCAUGCAAGCAUUUCCCCUUGAACACUUUCCAGCAUCCCCCACCCCAUAUCUCACCCCUCCAUGUCCUCCUCCUCGUUUACUCAGCUCCAUUCUCUUCUGUGUUUCCUGCACUGCCUACAGUGAUUGCACUUAGCGUGGAUGCUAUGGAGGAGGGAAUAUGAAAAGCAAGAAGGUAAAGAAAGGACUUCUGUGGAAUCUGCAUGAACUGAAGCAUGACAAAGGCUGAAGUUAUAAAAUAAGUGAUAGGAGGAAUGGAAGAGAGGAGCAAGUUAAAGUCCAGGUCCUGAGUGACAAUAGACACUCUCAGCAUGGAGCUCUGAUGCUUAAAACACGGGAGAAAAGUAGGAUGCUGGUACCACAGAAUUAGUGUGCUCCAAACUUUGGGCUCUACCUCCUGGCCAGGGAUGAAAUCUGCCUCCAGGCCCAUGCUCCCCAAGCACCUUCGUACUCAGCACGUUGCCCUGCUUAUCCCCAGACACACCGAGAACCUGGGCAAGGGAAGUCCUCCGGGAUGAAACAUGGGGAGCUCCUGCUGAUGAGCCUGUAGGACCUUACAGCUCCUUGUGUGUCUGCUUGUUGUGCCUUGGCUGCAUAGGAACUGCUUACCUGAUCUCCAAGGGUUGAAGUCAGGAAGGAAUUCUUCCUCUCCAUCUGAUCACAAAGGCUGCUUCUUUCAUCUGCUGCAAUUCAAGGCUUGGUCUCCCUCCUGGAUGUGUUCACAAUCACCCUCCCUGCUGUUGCUGGGACCCGAUAUGUCGGCACGGCUCUUGACCUCUCCUCAUGCAAACCUUCCCUGCCUGGCAAUUAGGGAAUUUUGCCCUCCUUAAUGGGAGCUGCACUGUCUGAUGGCUGCCUGAUGAAGUAGGAGCUCAACAGGCCACCUCUGCACCAAACAAUCCCAUACAUCAGAGGCCAUCCCUUUGAAUUCAACAGCUUUUCUGGUGCGAAGAGAGGAUAUUGAAAACCCAGCCUUAAAUCACACUUUUCAGGUAAUAAGCAGCAAUGAAUGAAAAAAGAAAAGGAAGCCAGGAGGCUUAUAGGAUUUAAGGAGCUUCUUUUGAAAGAAGAAUCCACCCUGCUGCUGAUGGCCAGAUGCUCAUGUGUGCCUGGAGAUGUGCAAAUAAACAUAGGGUGUAAAGCUGUUAGCAGUGGUUCAUGGCAACAGACUAACUCCUGUCAAGGAAAAGCAGGUUAGGUAAACUUUUCAGGUGUUUGGAGGUGAAUCUUUUCAUUUGUGCACAGCCCUUGGUUGACCCAACUAUUUCACAUCAUUACCAAUUGCUUUGUUCGUAUGUAUCAAACUUCCUUCUUGUGCUUUAUUGGUUUUUGCUCUCACUGACCUCUUCCAGCAGUUUACUUUCUAACAUCCUGAAAGCUUCAUCAUGACUGCUCAGUGCACCUCACCCAGGGCUGAGAUUAAAAGUUAAAGUAGAGAAAGAGCGAACACAACGGGAGAGAAAACAGAAGCGAUUUUGGCAGCAACCUGGUGACACUCUGAAAGGUCUUUGGGGUAACAGAGAACAGCAAGCCACUUGUGAUCCACAAAGGAAAAUGGCAGCACAAGCAUCAGGAUUGAACUUCUGCAGUAGUGGUGAUGGUGUGCCACCUGGCUGUGGAAUCAUGCGCAAGGCUCCAAGGGUCUGUGUUUCCUAUGGCACAAGAAGACUACCAGCUGAGGCAACAGGCUAGAGAUUCCUCCAGUACUGUUUCACAGAAUCAUAGAAUAUCCUGCGUUGGAAAGGACCCACAAAAGUCAUAGAGUCCAGAUCCUGGAGGGGACUCUUUGAGCUUUCCACUUUCGGCUUUGUGUCGUUGGCCAAGGAGCUGCCUUUCCUGCAGUUAACAGCAUCAGGGCUCUGCUCCUUGCUUUCUGCAAGGUCCUCUGUGCAUCCCCUCAGGGCGGCAGCAGUGGCUCAUCUGGGCAGCUGGCUGCCUUGUGGAAGAACCCCAUUUUGGGACCUGCAACAAUGUCAGUGUUUGCGUCAAGAAAAAGGUUGAACUCUCUCCUGAGAAAGUCAGUCUGUCUGUAUGGAAGGAGCAAGACAAACACUCAGACACAAGUCCCAGCUUGGCAGCUGCAGGGCUGGCAUUUGUUCCAUGUGCAGAAAAGCAAGACGAUGACAAAGCAUGAAAGCAGUGCUCAAGGAGCUCCUCAAAGAGAUGAAGACUGAGAUCUUACCGAUAAUAUGCCACACCCCAUAAAAGGAUCUUAGAUAUGGACAGACGAACUGGGAGCAUCUUGCCUCCCUGAUUCUUCCUUCCCUUUGUCCUCACACCCCUCCCCAGAACAGCACUCAGGCUUUCUCAAAAGCUGUGCAACCCAUUGAACAGGAGUGGUCCUAACUAUUAUGGAGAUCUUAAACUGCCAAAUUGAUACAAGCUAAAAUUGAUUGCCUGUGAAAGCUUGUGAAAUGAAGUGCUAGAAAGUGCAUAGAGAGAAACAGGGAAAGAGUGCUAAGGAAUUUGCUGCUUUAUGCUUCUUUUUUUUCCCUACUUUUCCUUUGCAUGCAACACCAUCAUUAUCUUUCCAAACCAUCUUGCCUUAAUGAGUUCUGCAUCUCCCUCUCUCAAUAAUCAUUGGACUGUUUCUCCUGGUAUUUCCAACAUAAAAGGUAUUCUCAGUUUGUCUUCUAAUUUGCCUGUUGCCGUGUCACUGCUGAAGAACUGCACAAGUGAUUCAAAGUCAAAUCCAGAGGGAAAAUUGAUGAUGUGGACAGUAUGACAUUUAAUCCCCCCUCAAGCUAAAAACCCUUUUUAGCUUUAUAAAUCUAAAAAUCCUCCCUGAGCCUGUUUCAUUCUAUUCUGCAUUGGUUUUAUUAGCACCCUCAUCACCAGAGCAUCUGAACACCUUCGAGUAGUACAUUAAGCAACGUGACUAACAUCUGUCACAUACAGUUUUCUCGCUCUCUCAGCAUCCUUAAAAUGAAUUUAGUGCUUGUGUUGGAUCGAUAGCGCUGGAGACAGAUGGUCUCUGUUCAGCCCCAGCAGGGGCACAGCAUGAGGGAGACCCCUGGAUGGACCCCCAGCCUGCUGCCCUUCUGCCAUCACACCCUUUUUUGGUCCAAAUUUGGACCAAAUUUACUCUGAGCAGGACAGAGAAGUCAGAGCAAUGCUGGGAAGUCAGAUGAGGCACUCAGUGGUAAAUUUCUGCUGCUGGGAGCCUUCAACAGAGACAGCAGUUUGAGCCACUUGAACUCAUGUCAGUACAGGUCCUUUGUUGGGUAGGGCGGUAGUUCUAUCCUAUGGAGCAAAAUCUAAGCAUCCUGAGGCACUGUAAUUUCAAGCAAUAUGUUUUCUUAAUGGGCCAAGUAUGCUUUACCUAAUUUUGCUUUGAGUGCAUGGGAUUGUUAUUGCUCAGUGGCCUCACGCAGGUGUUUAAGCAGAUCUGUGGUGUGAUUUUUCAAUAGUGGCAUAGGGUUUUAUUGACUGUUACCUAAAGAGUAACUUCAGAGUAAAUGAGCAUUUGCAGCCAAUUGUGAUGGAUGCACGUGGGGCUAUGGCAGAAAACUCAUGAGCUGGUGACCUCUGUCACAGCCUGUUGUGUUUUGGGUAAGAGUAUAACGUAACUGGAAAAGGACUCUGUUUUUCAUACAGUAAGAAGAAUUGGGAGAAUUUAUUUAUGUUUCCCCGGAAAACUGUUGGCUUUUCAGUUCUGAUAACGUGAAGGUGUUGAGGAAAAAUCUAGGUAAAUAAAAUUCUGAUGUUUGUGAGGAUACUGGGGUAUGGGGUAUAUUUUGGUUUAUGAAUAUGCCUUGCAUGGCUGACUAGGGGACUCUGUGUGAUAAUUGAGAUUACAGCAGUUUUGAAGCAUGAUAGAACUCUGAUCCAAUGCAAAACUUUGCCUUGUUCAAUGCCCCAUCCUUGCAGAUAUUGAAGGUCAGGCUGGGCUGCUCUCUGAGCAACCUGGCUGAGCUGCAGAUGUCCCUGUUCACUGCAGGGAAGUUUGACUAGGUGACCUCUAAGGGUCCCUUCCAACUCAAAUGCUUCUAUGAUUCUAUAAAACUCAGAGGAGUAAUAAUCUUAACUUCUCACUGUUCCCUCCUAUCCACAAAAAGCCAACUGAGGCUGGUUGGAAACCCAGCCCCUCCAGCAAGACUCAGUCAAGGCACAGUCUGAAGCUCUUCUCUGUACAAAACCCUAGAUUGUGCUACAGACCUAGCAGUAGUGGAAAUAUGAGAUAUCUGAUCAAGAAAGAGAAAUACAUCUAUUUCAGAAUACAUAAUCCUACCACAUAUGUGAAGUAGUUUAACCAUUAGCAAGUUGUCAAGCGUUAUUGAAUGGAGUUAAACUCUUUAUUUCUGUGCAGGAUCAAUUCUGUUCCCCCCCCCCCCCCCUCUUUCUUCCCUUCCCAGUACAGUGAGCUUUUAUACGAUACACAUUGCAGCGCCUGGGGCAGAUGACACUUGCCAAGGGGCUUGAUGAUCAAUUCUGAUACAAAUCUGACAUGAAAAGUCUGGAGAGAAUCUGGAUCAGAUGAUCAAUGGAAGACAGAAAUCCACAUUUAAUGCUGUGCUGCUCCUAGAUGUCUAUGCCUGUCUCAAACUGAGAUCCAAAAGCAAGCACAAUCCACAAAGACAACAUAUGGACGGGUACAUGGACAGAGGUGUGAGGAUGGCAUUUCACAUGCCCUUUCUGAAAUGAAUAUCGUGGAAGUAUUACAUGUAGGACUGACAGCCCGUCAGGUUUAAGUAUGAAAUUAAUCAUAAAAACAUGGAUCAGAGAAAUGCUAGUGAUCACUUUACCACCAAGUCUGUGCUACAGAGUCCAUGGGCAGCAAAUAGUUUCCAUUUUGUUUUUAUUUCUGUAAGAAUCUGUUAGAUUUCUGUCUCUGAUUCAAAGAUGAAAGAGAGACCUAUAACCAGCCUCAGUCCUUGGAGCCAUGCCUUCAUUUACCACCAGUCGGCUUUGCCCCUCUCCCUAUUUCUCCCCAGGCCUGGCUGCAUCUGAGUACUCAUAAACGCACUUUAUUAUUUCUCCCCUCACAGUUGCUUUUUUCUUCCCACACCUGCCAACAUUAGCUCCUUCCCUUGAAGCGUGCUGCCGUACAGUCUAAUGCAUGUGAUCUUCAUGCCAAGAUGCUAUUUAAUUUCCCAACAAAGUUCUUUUGGCGUGGAAUGAGCAGUAAGAGCACCAGAGGGGAGGCAUAGAUGGAGUGGGAAGGGAAACGAGAAGGAAGAAGGACUCCAACGUACGUUGCCUCUGGCUUCAACCAUGAGUGGUUUCAGCAAGUGGCUGGGGAGCAGCGUGGGUGGGAUGGUGGUGGCAACAGGGGGUUCGUGGAUGGCAGGUUGCUGAAUCAGGAACCCUGACACUUGUGAAGUACUCUGUCAGGAACAUUAAGUAUCCAAAAGUGAUAAAGCUUCAAUUUGCUAGUCCAUUAGACUAAUUACUGCAAUAAUUAAGUAACUACUUGAUUAGAACUAAUGGGUACCUAAUUAUCCAGGAGAAAAGUAUCAGGUGGCAAUUAUCAGGUGGCAAUUAAUAGACUGGAGUUAAUGUCUUAGCACUGUCUUUGUAUGAAUUCAUAAGCAAGGUAAAGAAAACAAACAAUAACUUAUUAAUAUUUAUUGGUGCCACAGUGUUUUUCAGCUUGUUUCAUUUACACAGAACCAAUUAGUGAAAAGACAGUUAUUGUUGCAAAGACGUAAAGUGACUGAAGCAGGAGUUUGAUUUUAAAGGAACAGGAUCACAUUAGCACUUAUAAGCAAAGACAAAUGGAUAUCAGCCAGGGACUUGGUUCUGGUGCUGCUAAUUCAUCAACAGAAGAAAUCAGAGUAAUUGAGCUCAGUAUUAAUAAUGAAAGACGCAGGAAGGCAGCUCCGGUCUUAAUGGGGUUCACUUUGAUAUUGGCCCCUCCCUGGGUCUUCAUCAGCAUUUUCUACAACGCAUGGAAAACAGAGAAAGCACCUUCCUGAAUGAGUGGGAGCAUCCUGUGGGCAUGGGUGGGAGACACCAUAAUAACAUCUUCCAGAUCAAUGCCGCAAGCUCUCUGAAGGAGACAGCUUUCCUGGGCAGAAAAUGCCUGGUUGCAAAGUUGCUACAGAUGCAGUUUCCAUGAUGAAGGCAGUGGAACUGAAUUCUUGCCUGUCUGCUGGUUAACCUGUGUAAAGAAACCAUGGGGACGUUCCCAUUGCCACUAUUUCUCCUUAGCUUAGCACCCAUCUGAAACACUGCUGGUAGUUUGUGUGAGAGAGGUCCAAAGCCAAAUUGAACCUACUUUAGAGCUCAGAUGCUUUGAGUGUAUCUUUAUAGUUGCUGUUUUCUUUUGUUGGCCAUGCAAAUGGCCAGCUUCUCAGGUGAUGUACGUUGAUGUCCUUUCUUGGAUGUCAACACAACAGUAGUGAUUUACGUGGAAUCAAACUAUGACCUAGGAUCUACAUUUCCCACUCUCCUAAUUCAAGAGGCCUUAAAUUUCCCAACAGAAAAAUGAGAAAUCACAGGGAAUUCCUUCCUGUGUAUUUUUAUGGCCAUAAAUGAUCAUUGUUCUUCUUAAAUGAGCUUCAGACCAAAACUAUUGCGCGUGCAAAGGAUCUCCUUGUCUCUCUGCGGGAGAGCUCAUAUUAGCAAUAAUUACUCUCAUGAGUAAGAAUUUCUACACUGUGAUAUACAGUGAGUUGGCAACUGCUGUUAGAGCACAGAAUGAAGCCUGGGUUCGCUCAUAAACUUUAAUCCUUUAAAAUUUAACUGUUAGCAAAUGAAAGACCAAAUUAUCAGAUGGAUUUAUGUCAGCGCAGUGAGACGGAGCUCUGCAAAGCUCCGCUUUGUGGGGGCUGAGGAUCUGGCCCUUGCAAUAGCUGUUCUCCCCCCUCUAUCCUUUUCUCCGUGGUAUAAAUAAAUGAAAGGUGUCCUAAUCAUAUUUUAGACUGUGUGCAGAGUCACAUGCUAAACCAUAAUGUCUCUGUAUUAGAACAUGAGGAAUGAUAAAUGGAGAUAAAUCUAAAAUUUAUAGAACAUGAACAUUUGCAUAAACUGCAAUAUCCAAACAUAUAGGCUGUUAAGUAACAAUUGUCACAAAGGGCAUAAAAAAUUCAACUUUGUUUCAUAAAAAGAUCUCAAAUUCCUAACAUGAUUAAGAUAAUAUAUCAUUUGUUCCUAUCUUAUUAAAGGCGUAAUUGUUGUUAGACACAGAAGUGGCAUUAAGUCUAAUCUGGCUUUAUAUAUGUACAAAUAGAAGGGGAGGUGAAUGUGAAAAUUGAUGCUUUUGGUGAUCCAUAGGCAUUUUAUUAAUGUUUGAAUAAUAACUGCCUGGAGGGCCUGUUAUAAAUUAAAGGGACGAAUUGAGAUAUAAAUUUUUAUGAGGACUAGUUAUACAUUUCCAUUAUGUGUUUAAAAAUGAAGGAAUUACUGUGAACACAGCAGAACUCACAUUUAUUUGAGGUGAUUUGGAUGGAAGGGAAGGUGCACUGAAGGAAGCUGCAUGCUGGCUGUAAGAAAGAUGUAUCUGUCCCUUUGAAGAGAUAUAUCAUAUGUCAUGCAUGAACUCGGUUCUACAGGAGACUUUUCUCUGCAGCUGAUUUCGCAUGAUUAUUUAUUUGACAACAGCAAGUGAUGAUAUAGCAAUGAGUUUAGGCCACUUAGAGAAGAAUGCUUAUUCCUAAAUCACAGAGGAGUUCCCCAAACCCAACUAUUGUCAAACCAGAGUUAAUCUAAUAGAGGAACCCAGUAAUCUCUCUGGCACUUAUUUCUCAUUAUUCCUCCUGUCUGGAUAUACACAUCUUCAUUUGCAGUGCAUCCACCGGCCCUGCCGUGUAUCUCAGAGCUUCCUCCUGCCCGUUGUUGUGGCUGUUUGCAGGAGCUCAGCUCUCAUUGCUGGGUGGGCACCGUAUUCCCUUUGCUAUCCACCAGAGCAGAUAUCCUGUAAGAUCCACAGUUAGUCCCAUCGAUGUGCUUUUCCCAUGACAUGGAGGGUGAAGAUAACCCAGUAUCUUCAACGAAGCAGGCACUUUGGCCUGAGAAUACAUCUUUUCAUGACAGAGAGGGUGCAUUAUCCCAGUACUUAGGCAAUCACUGACUGUAUAGGGGAACUCUUUUCCACUUCCUUGUUUAUUGCUGCUGACCCCUGAAGGCGAAGCCUUUUAGAUCAAAUUCUUCAGGUUAUUUUGUAUUUAACCUUUAUUUAAAGCCUUUAUUUUUCUUGAUUUCGGUAGAUGCAAGAAAACUGAUAUCCCAGAGGUCCUGACCUAUUUUCUCUGUGCGGCAGUUCGUUGUCUAUAAAACAAGGAGACUCAAACAAGUGGUUUGAGGAGGAAAGUGUUCAUUGGUGUGAUGCUGAGAGAUGACAACGUAAUGCCAUCUGCAGAUACGCCGGACCAACACAGCAGCUGUGCUACUGCAUUCUGGUGGUGUUUUAUGGCAAGACACACAGCACAGCGGUCUUCCAUUCUGCUGUCUUUCAUGUAAAUGAAUUAAUUUGCAAUUUUUUGUUGUUGCUUCUCCCAAGCACCACUCUAAUCAAGCUCACGAGGAUUAGGCAAGUACUUCCUGUUUGGACUAGGCCUGAUUCCUUGUGAAAUACGUUUAGCUGGUGCUCUUGGCUUGCAAAGGGCCCAAAAUCUUAAAGAAAUUGAUAAAACAUUGAGACUUAGCUCAGCUUCGGUUCUCAACUUUGAAGCAUCACUCUUGGCUCCACCAAUCAGGGAGAUCACUGUGUACACUCAGAGAACAGUGGCUGGGUGUACUUUGAUCUACAAGCAACAUUUAUUUUUUCCCCCAGGUGAGAAUGAGAAAAACGACAAAAUGUCUUCAUGGUUCUCAUUAAAGGUCCUACCUUUAGCAGCCCUUUGAAUCUGGAUCAGCUCCCCAGUCUUAAAAUUUGCAACCCUUCGAAUCAAGUUCAAGUGUGCCUUUCCUUCAAGGAUAGAACCAUGCUUGCAGCUAUCAUCGACCCCUGUGAUUCAAAAUACCAACACCACCACCUGGAAAUCCAUCUCAGAUGCCGCUCCUUCUUCAAGCAGAGUUUCCCACCUGUCUCAAACCAGGGGUUUUAGACAAUCAUGGAACUACCUGUGAAUAAUGCUGUGGUUCUGCUUCCUCCAGUGUGUCUUCAUAGGCCUGAUGUCAGCUUCUUUCUUGUGGAGACAAAGAAUGUCACCAUGAAUGUCCAUUGGCAAACUGGAUAAGAAGGAGUGUCACAGUGCAGGACAACCUAGAAAAUGACAGGUAUUUCCAGGCAUAGCAAUGAUGAGAUCAAAUUCCCCUCAACCUGCCUUGUUUGCUGAUCUUUUAAUCAGAUUCAACUUCACUGCAGCUACAGCACAAGGUUCCCUGACAAUGUAUGACAGCAUGUGACAGAAAAAUAUUUUGAUUUUGUUUUUUUGUUUUUUUGGUUUUUUUUUUUGACCAUUUGAUGCUAUUUCAGAUAUAUCUGAAGCCCUGGCAGCAUCUGCUAAAUCUACCGAACUGUUUUAGUGGAGGUUUUUAUACUUGCAUAAUUGAACCAGAGGGUUUGGGGGUUGUGUUCAUGUGCGUGUAGGGGAAUCCAAACAGGAAAGCUGGGAAAUGAUCUAAACCCUUUGAGGUUAACGUGCCAUGAAAGAGCAUCAACGACCGAAGAGGACAUUAUUAAAAAGCAGCCAACCCAGCUCAAAAAGAACCACUGUGUGAAGCAAGAGCCUGCAGAACAACACCCAGGGCUGUUUGUGAUCCCACUGGGAUAUGUAUUUCAUCCCCUGUCUUCAUAUCUCCAGAUUUCCUCUGAACUGCUUCUGAGACGCGUUCUCGAAAAAGAAAAACACCAGCAACUACUGAAUGCCUCUUAUCAACCUUUUCCCCGCAAUCUGUUUCGUAUUCGUCUCACACCCUUGUUCUCGCAGUGUCUUGGGGAAAUGCUCGGAUCAAAGAUAAGAGAGAACAAGGAAAGGAAUGAAGCAAGAGGCAAACAACAAAACAAAACCACCCCCCACCCCCCCCCAAACUUUCUGACUAAACUUCUCUGCGAACCGUGUGCACGAUUACAGCACUGUUAAAACUGCCUUCUUCUUCGCCAGUACUUAAUUCCUGCUUUUAAAAUCAGGCUCCCUUUGAUCUUGAGGAUUGAAAUGAUCUGGAAAUGAAACAGCCAUUGCUUUGCAGAAAAUCUGGAUAGGGUCCCAGGCAUGGCUUUUACCUGGAAGGAUUCCAAAAUAGGAUGAAAUCUCUCCGGUUUCAGAACAAAUUGCAAGAUUUUUCUCUAUGUCUAGGCCAACUGUGGAACUCCAGCCCUGACGUCUGCUAGUUCCCAAAGCGCAGAUGUAAUAACCUCUAAGGUAAACUGUGGGCCCUAUUCCUCCAUUUUCUCCCCUCUGCCUCUCCUUCAAGGAUCAAAUGUUUGGAGAAUUUUAUUAAAACAAAGACUUAAAUUUCUGAGCAAACUUAAGUUGAGGAGACAGUUGCUUAUAACCUGGGCUAGGUUCAGCCACAGGAGGGUUGGGCAGGACAGAGGACCAGGAGCAUCUGUAACAUCUGGAUCUUGUUGCAUGCGAAGAAAUAUCUGCCUGGCUUUGCACAACCUGAUCCCAGAGCCAAAAGGGCUGAGAAAUGUGGUUAAGAGACGAUGAAGCUCACUUUGCCCUACCAAAUAAGUCCCACUGAGAAAAGAUUUGGACUGCUCUUAUAGGAAUCAUAGAAUCACAGAAUCAUUAAGGUUGGGAAGACCAAUAAGAUCCUCUAGUCCAACCAUCAACCCAUGCCUGUGACUGCUCUAGACCAUGUCUCUCAGUGCCACAUGUCCGCAGUUCUUGAACACCUCCAGGGACGGUGACUCCACCACCUCCCUGGGCAGCCUGUGCCAAUGCAUCUCUUUCUGAGAAGUUUUUCCUAACAUCCAACCUGAGAACAGUUGUUGAUCAGGUUAUUGUAUCUGAAGGACAGCAGUCAGCAAGAAAGAAACCUCUCUCUCUGUAUGUAGUUCUCAGUGCACCAACUCUGACCUGGGAAUCAUAAAGGAGAAAGGAUGCCUGAACAUCAGUACUAAGCAGAAAAUGUGCUGAGAUGUCACAGUUUGCCAAGACAACGAGAAUCACUUUCCCUUGUAUGUAUUAUUACAGAACAGGGGAAUAAUUAUCUGCUUUCAUACAAGCUUUUUCCUUCUGCAUGAUUAACUUCACUGAUAUCAAUAGAGAGUGUGAUGACUCUGAAAUGACAGCUCCUGGUAGCACGUUCUGGGAUUAGCACAAACAGGUUGUCACUGUACCCCUGUUAGGAACAGUCAGUCUUGUCAUGCUGAGUGCAGGACAGAAAAGCCAGGCUGGGACCAGGCAUCUGCCACCACCAUGUCUGUUUUCAUGGGUGGCUCUCAGUUUGGGAUAUAGGGCUGGCUACUUCAAUGGGGCACAAGGGCCUUCAUGCAGACCCGCAGGAUGGCAGCGGAGAAGCUUCCAGAUCCAAAUCACCUGGUCAUCCUUGUGCUAAGGGAUGAGUUGCAGCCUAAAAUCUGCAUUCUUCAGCUCAUGGAAUGGUUGAAUGGAGAGGAAGGUCAGAGAUGCGAGAGAGCAAGUCGAGGUAUUAGUAUGAAACAACCAACCUAUCCUUUUACUAAAGUUGUAAAAGAAUCUGUCAUAGGUCUCCUGUGGAAAUUAAUCAGUGUAUGGAAAACUGGAUAACAACUAUGGGGACAACAGGAAUGUGCCUAUAAAUUAAAAGAAGCUAUUGUGAGCAUGCAGAGCUAUCUGGGGAAGGCACUGGGGCAGGAUAGCAGUGCUCAGUGGAGCUAGGACAGGGUCCACAUAAAGGGAUUCUUCAGUAAAGUCCAUACUUUGUCAAUGUCAAGAUACACGGGAACUGUAAAACAAAGCAAACUGUGUGCAUGGAAUGAAAAUAGAAAUUUAGUCCAUCAUCGUGUGCCUUUGAAAACGUCAUAAUCCUUUUAAAAAGAUGACAAAAUAUCUGUGUAUUUUUUAAGAAACGUAGCAGGUGAAAGGAUUCAUUCUCAAAAAUCCAUGAAGUGUACAGUGAUGAGUUAUUGAGGAUUGGGGGGGAGGGUGUUUUUGUAAUUCUGUAGGCAUCUCAGUCCUCUGGUGAAAUGAUGUAUGGGGCAAUCGUCUGGUAGGGGCUGAUGGGAUGUAAAUGAAACUAAUUAAGGAAAUGUCAAACAUAAUUAAUAAAACAGGUUUAAGUUGCAAAAGCACUGUCAGCUGAAUGAAUGGGGAAGAGUGUGGCAUUCCCAUUGUUGUGGGGCUUGCUUGCUUAUUUAUAUAUUUAUUUAUUUAUUCCUCGCUCACCCCCUUGGCCUCCCACUAGCUCUGCAGUUGCAUCAUUCAAUUAGAUCUCAGAAAGCUCUUGCUAGACGCUUGCAUUUCCUCCUUGCCCCCCUUCUGAGCUGGGGUCCCAUAGAAUAGGAGGAAUAUAAAUUUGCCCUGUCGAUUUGCAGCCUGGGAAGAAGAAGAAAAAAAUUAAUUGCUAACUCCUCAUCUUCCCUAAGUACUACAGGACAUUAACAUAACCAAUUUGCUUGAACUCCUCACUGGCUGCUUAAUAGAGCAUCUGACCAGCUGAUAAGACCUGGGUGCUGCUGCCUAUGAUACCUUGUUAUUAGCAUUUUCAUAAUAUUCAGAUAUUACAGCCCCAUGAUUCACUAGCCUCCAUUCAUUAUUGAUAAGUACAAAAAAUAAAUAAAAAGGGUUUAUAAAUUGCAAAAGGGGGUGAGCGACCUAUAAUUAUGGCAAGCAAAUUAGGGUGCAUGGUAGAGUCAGUUACAUUUGCCUAGGAGUAAUGAUGCUCAAGAACUUUUUCUCCCCAGGGACCAGAAAAAUAAUGGAUUCCCUGGCAGCUGCAGAUGGGCUAGGAAAGGCUGUCAUCCAGGACACUGUUUAUAUAAGUUAGGCUGAGCAUAUGGCUCUGCGUCCUGCCUGUAGCCAUCUCCAGAUAAUGCCAUUUCAAUGACAUUAAAUAAAUACAUAAAUAAAAAUAACUGGGCAGUGGUGGUGGUGGUGAAGGGAUACGAGGAGGAGAAAAAAACAAACAGGUUCAAGAGGGUCCACAGCAAAGUUUCUACUGAGAGCAUUCCCAGCAGCUCAGCAAUCCCAUAGGGGUGUUACCCAUAAAGGCAGAGUCUGCCCAGCUGAAUGACUGCAGAGAAAAAGAUGAAAUGCUAUUUCUGCUAAAGCAAAACCUUUUCCAUGUUCCAGUCUAAGACAGAUGUAUUUAUACACCAAAGCUUUGUGCCUGAAAUGAUAGAAAACAUGGUUGCAAGUAGGAGCUACUAGAAAUAACCACUGGAUACUUUAUAAUUUAGUCCCUGCGGUUUUAUUUCCAUUAAUCCAAUCAAAGGCCUUUUUUCUUUACUAAUGAAACUGGAAUGAAACACAAAAGGGAGGCUGACCUGUUAGCAGGUGACUGUUUCUUAUAAGUUAUUCAUUAAAAACACCCCAACGCUCUGGUGCUGAAGGAGACCGUACCUAUUUCUGUAUAAAUUAAACAUAAGUGACUUGGUUGCAAGAAAAAAAAAUGUUAUUUCUCUUGGCUUCCAAACACCGUAGAGCACUUGGAGGAAACUGCACCCUUGCAGACAUUUGCAGAGAAUUAUAGACUGAAGUUACAUUCCAACUGCUCCUACUAUUUUCUGUUCCAAGCAGCCCUAAACAUCUACUGCAGGCAUGGAUGUUACCAAUAUUUUGCAGUCAAUGUGCUUCAGGUAAGUUAGGAAUGAGCCUCAGUUUGGCCUUUCUUGUGAGUGUUAGAGGAGGCUUAGGAGUAGAAGGGAAGAACUCUGGCAGAAAAAGCGCAGGUGGAAAGGCUUCUCCCUUCUUUUUUUCUUUGUUAAAUUUAAUUACAUCAUUACUGAAAUUGC